AUUGAACGCUGGCGGCAGGCCUAACACAUGCAAGUCGAGCGAGCGGCGGACGGGUGAGUAACACGUAUCCAACCUGCCCUUUACUCGGGGAUAGCCUUUCGGGAGAAAGAUUAAUACCCGAUAUAAAGGAUGGGGAUGCGUUCCAUGAGGUUGUGGGUGAGGUAACGGCCCACCAAGCCUUCGAUGGAUAGGGGGUCUGAGAGGAAGGUACCCUGGAUUGGAACUGAGACACGGUCCAAACUCCUACGGGAGGCAGGAGUGAGGAAGAUUGGUCAAUGGGCGUUAGCCUGAACCUGCCAAGUAGCGUGAAGGAGGCAGGCGUAGGAGUCGUAAUCUUCUUUGAUAUAAGAAUCGGUAUUAUAUGAAUAAGGAUCGGCUAACUCCGUGCCAGCAGCCGCGGUAAUUC
rnacentral:rRNA from 1 species